rnacentral:rRNA from 1 species
GAUGAACGCUGGCGGCGUGCUUAACACAUGCAAGUCGAGCGAGAAGUUUUGAAAAGAUUCUUCGGAUGAAAUUGAAAAUGGAAAGCGGCGGACGGGUGAGUAACGCGUAGGCAACCUGCCCCAUACAAAGGGAUAGCAUUUGGAAACGAAUAUUAAUACCUUAUGAAACUUAACUAGUGCAUGCUAGGUAGGUCAAAGAUUUAUCGGUAUGGGAUGGGCCUGCGUCUGAUUAGCUAGUUGGGGAGGUAACGGCCCACCAAGGCGACGAUCAGUAGCCGGCAGGGGGGGGGGACCGGGCGGAUUGGGAGUGGGGCCCGGACCAAACCUCCGGGGGGAGGGGGAGUGGGGAGUAUUGCGCACUGGGGGAAACCCUAAGGCAGCCGCGGCGCUUAGAAAAAGUGGCCCUUGGGGACGGAAAUUCCUGUUCUAAGUGCAGAAAACUACCGGAACCGAGGGAGAAACCCCGGGUAAACUCCUU